UCUCCAAGGUGAACAGCCU
rnacentral:snRNA from 1 species